GGUGCCACAAGUCCUCCUUUUCAUUUUGCGGAUACAACACAGCUGCUACUCUGAAUAUAAUCUCAGUGGAAGUUACUGUGGUGGCAAGUUGAAGACAGAAUGUCAGGCAACUUACAUUUCCUCAUUUUGUGAGUUACAUCAGACUGGGUUUUAUUUUAUGUGAUGCACUCAAUGCACUAAUCAAGUCAACAGCUGAAACCUUCAGGUAACUAAGAACCUCACUCUCACCAUUUUUUAUCUUCCUGUUACGUUACAAUUUAUGGGUUUCAGGUUUACCUCUCAACUUCAAUCUACCACAGGCAGCAGAAAAUGAAAAAGAAAAAAAAAUCUGGUAUAUUAGAAAUAAAAUACCCAGGAAAGUGGCUAUUAAAGGUUAGGUAUUUCAUCAUUUUGAAGGGCCUCCAUACAGUACCUCUGGUACCAUAUUCAUCUGCUUUCUCUCUUAAAAGUCAUCCUAUUUCCUACACAGCAAGAGCAGUGCCUACAAGUCUCAUGCUGGGCACGAACAGGGGAGUUGAAUAGCAUCACUAAUUACAAACAAUGGUCUCCGCGCAGUAACACCCAGGUGUGUUUUUUGGAGACGUUUCCAAGCUCCCUUGCUUGCAGAGGGUAGAAUCUCAACCUCCCGAAACGGUCACGGCUUCAGGUAGCCCUUCUAAGGCGCUGGGGCGGCACAGUCACCUCCUCCCGCCUCUCUUCUCCGCCCCAUUACCGCAGGGGCGACAGAGAGCGAAGCAAUGUGGUUUCUAAAGGGCGCUCCUAACAGGCAGAGCAGGUGACUGACAGAAAUCCCCAUGGAUGGAGAAACUACUGUACUUGGUGAGGAAAUAGCAGUGGCUUCUUCUCCCCAUCUUGAUUCAGAGAAUCUGGAGCUGGUCUUCAGCCACUCUCUAAAAAUGACUGGGAUUAGCGAAGAAUUGUGUGUCAGCAGCUUCCUGUCAGAGGAGCUGCCGUGUUGUGCUGAAGAAAGUCCUCACACCAGAGCGAAAACAUCGGGAGCAAUUGGAUGGAAACGGUGAUGACAUGAACCGCAACAGAAAGAAGAAAUUCAAUAUGAUGAACGUCAGUCGGGGUGCUGACUACCACGCAUUCCAGUUCCAUCAGUGCAAAGACCUAUUUAUAGUCUCUAACAGUGUCACUCAAAGUCAGACAUUAUAUCUGGGGGAAAAAUAUUCUCCAAAACUCUGUUUGCUUAAGCACUCUCUCUCUCUCUCUCUAUAUAUAUAUAUUAAAAAGUUCUGCUUUUUAUUAUUUCA